UUAAAUUGAAGAGUUUGAUCAUGGCUCAGAUUGAACGCUGGCGGCAGGCCUAACACAUGCAAGUCGAACGGUAACAGGAAGCAGCUUGCUGCUUUGCUGACGAGUGGCGGACGGGUGAGUAAUGUCUGGGAAACUGCCUGAUGGAGGGGGAUAACUACUGGAAACGGUGGCUAAUACCGCAUAACGUCGCAAGACCAAAGAGGGGGACCUUCGGGCCUCUUGCCAUCAGAUGUGCCCAGAUGGGAUUAGCUUGUUGGUGAGGUAACGGCUCACCAAGGCGACGAUCCCUAGCUGGUCUGAGAGGAUGACCAGCCACACUGGAACUGAGACACGGUCCAGACUCCUACGGGAGGCAGCAGUGGGGAAUAUUGCACAAUGGGCGCAAGCCUGAUGCAGCCAUGCCGCGUGUAUGAAGAAGGCCUUCGGGUUGUAAAGUACUUUCAGCGGGGAGGAAGGUGUUGUGGUUAAUAACCGCAGCAAUUGACGUUACCCGCAGAAGAAGCACCGGCUAACUCCGUGCCAGCAGCCGCGGUAAUACGGAGGGUGCAAGCGUUAAUCGGAAUUACUGGGCGUAAAGCGCACGCAGGCGGUCUGUCAAGUCGGAUGUGAAAUCCCCGGGCUCAACCUGGGAACUGCAUUCGAAACUGGCAGGCUUGAGUCUUGUAGAGGGGGGUAGAAUUCCAGGUGUAGCGGUGAAAUGCGUAGAGAUCUGGAGGAAUACCGGUGGCGAAGGCGGCCCCCUGGACAAAGACUGACGCUCAGGUGCGAAAGCGUGGGGAGCAAACAGGAUUAGAUACCCUGGUAGUCCACGCCGUAAACGAUGUCUACUUGGAGGUUGUGCCCUUGAGGCGUGGCUUCCGGAGCUAACGCGUUAAGUAGACCGCCUGGGGAGUACGGCCGCAAGGUUAAAACUCAAAUGAAUUGACGGGGGCCCGCACAAGCGGUGGAGCAUGUGGUUUAAUUCGAUGCAACGCGAAGAACCUUACCUGGUCUUGACAUCCACAGAAGAAUCCAGAGAUGGAUUUGUGCCUUCGGGAACUGUGAGACAGGUGCUGCAUGGCUGUCGUCAGCUCGUGUUGUGAAAUGUUGGGUUAAGUCCCGCAACGAGCGCAACCCUUAUCCUUUGUUGCCAGCGAUUAGGUCGGGAACUCAAAGGAGACUGCCAGUGAUAAACUGGAGGAAGGUGGGGAUGACGUCAAGUCAUCAUGGCCCUUACGACCAGGGCUACACACGUGCUACAAUGGCGCAUACAAAGAGAAGCGACCUCGCGAGAGCAAGCGGACCUCAUAAAGUGCGUCGUAGUCCGGAUUGGAGUCUGCAACUCGACUCCAUGAAGUCGGAAUCGCUAGUAAUCGUGGAUCAGAAUGCCACGGUGAAUACGUUCCCGGGCCUUGUACACACCGCCCGUCACACCAUGGGAGUGGGUUGCAAAAGAAGUAGGUAGCUUAACCUUCGGGAGGGCGCUUACCACUUUGUGAUUCAUGACUGGGGUGAAGUCGUAACAAGGUAACCGUAGGGGAACCUGCGGUUGGAUCACCUCCUUA
rnacentral:rRNA from 1 species